rnacentral:rRNA from 1 species
CACGUAGUUAGCCGUGACUUUCUGGUUGAUUACCGUCAAAUAAAGGCCAGUUACUACCUCUAUCCUUCUUCACCAACAACAGAGCUUUACGAUCCGAAAAUCUUCUUCACUCACGCGGCGUUGCUCCAUCAGACUUGCGUCCAUUGUGGAAGAUUCCCUACUGCUGCCUCCCGUAGGAGUUUGGGCCGUGUCUCAGUCCCAAUGUGGCCGAUCAGUCUCUCAACUCGGCUAUGCAUCGUCGCCUUGGUAAGCCGUUACCUUACCAACUAGCUAAUGCACCGCGGGGCCAUCCCUUAGCGACAGCUUACGCCGCCUUUCAAAAGCUGAUCAUGCGAUCUGCUUUAUUAUCCGGUAUUAGCACCUGUUUCCAAAUGGUAUCCCAGACUUAGGGGCAGGUUCCCCACGUGUUACUCACCCAUCCGCCGCUCGCUUUCCCAACGUCAUUACCGAAGUAAAUCUGUUGGUUCCGCUCGCUCGACUUGCAUGUAUUAGGCACGCCGCC